GUGCUUACUUCAGCAGCACGUAUACUAAAACUGGGACAGAGAAGAUUAACAUGCUCCCUGAGCUAAGAUGAUAUGCAAAUUUGUGAAGUGUUUGAUACUUAA
ensembl:snRNA U6 U6 spliceosomal RNA